rnacentral:rRNA from 1 species
UUGCCGGACGGACGGCGGGCAGGGAUGAUCUGCUGGGAGAAAUUGCCAGUCGAGGGNGGAUAACAGUUGGAAGACGACUGCUAAUACCUGAUAUCGCCCUACGGGGGAAAGGCAGGGGGGACCUUCGGUGCCUUGCGCGAUUGGAUAUGCCCAGGUGGGAUUAGCUAGUUGGUGAGGUAAUGGCUCACCAAGGCGACGAUCCCUAGGCUGGUCUGAGGAGGAUGAUCAGCCACACUGGAGACUGAGACACGGUCCAGAUUCCUACGGGAGGCAGCAGUGGGGCAAUCAUUGCACGAAUGGGGGCAAACCCUUGAUGCAUCCCAUGCCGUGUGUGUGAAAGGAAGGCCUUCGGGUUGUAAAGCACUUUCAGCGAGGAGGAACAGGUCAGUAGCUAAUAUCUGCUGGCUGUGACGUUACUCGCAGAAGAAGCACCGGCUAACUCCGUGCCAGCAGCCGCGGUANUACGGAGGGUGCAAGCGUUAAUCGGACAUUACUGGGCGUAAAGCGCACGCAGGCGGGUGGAUAGUUAGNAUGUUGAAAAGCCCCGGGCUCAACCUUGGGAACUUUGCCUUUCAGAAACUUGUCCAGGCUUAGAGGUCU